UACGGAGGGGGCUAGCGUUGUUCGGAAUUACUGGGCGUAAAGCGCGUGUAGGCGGAUGGGCAAGUCUGCUGUGAAAGCUCCUGGCUUAACCGGGAGUGGUCGGUGGAAACUGCCAAUCUGGAGGACGGUAGAGGUAGGUAGAAUUCCCGGUGUAGUGGUGAAAUGCGUAGAGAUCGGGAGGAAUACCUGUGGCGAAGGCGGCCUACUGGGCCGGACCUGACGCUGAGACGCGAAGGCGUGGGGAGCGAACGGG
rnacentral:rRNA from 1 species